CUCCAAUGGGUGUGCACAGAGGCUAUGUUAAGCUUCUUCCAUAUGGUUUUGCCGGGAUAAUGGAAAAAUCAGGGGAGAAUAGUUGUGGGGAUUUGAGUUUUAUCAAGAAUAUUGGUGGGUUUGAUUUUGGGGAAGGUAUUAGAUUUGAGCCAUCAAAGCUUAUUCCGAAGUUUCAGAGACAGGCUGAUGAGAUGAAUCUCUUCUGCUUCAAGGCUACAACACCGUUUUGGAUGCAGAAAGCCCCGGCUUGCUUCGGUUGAUACUUUCUAGUCUGAAAAAUUUGCACUUCUCAUGGACACAAUGGCAAUGGCAAUGGCGUUUAAGAUGCUUUCUCUUUUGCUCCUCUGCGGAUGCUUCUUUUCCAACUCCUUUGUCAUCGAAGAAGCCAACAUCAAGGACAUCCAAUGGACAUUCUCUCAAAACAAGCUCGUGUCCAGACAGCUCGUUGACUUCUACUUGCACCAGAUCGAGGCCCUGAAUCCAGAGCUUUGCAACGUCAUAGAGGUGAACCCAGAUGCACGAGAGCAAACGGACAAGGCCAAUGCAGAGAUUAAAAGCAAUAAGGAGUUGGGGGAGCUGCAUGGGGUACUUGUGUGUUGAGAUAUUAGGAAUGCUUUCCUUAUAUCAUUCUUUCCUUAUAUCAUUUAGUGUUGAGAUAUUAGGAAUGUUUAGAUAUUAGGAAAGUUGAGAUAUUAUGAAUAUUGAGAUAUUAGGAAUAUUGAGAUACUAGGAAUAUUGAGAUAUUAGGAAAGUUGAGAUAUUAGGAUAUUAGUUGUUAUUUCCUUAUAUCAUUCUUUCCUUGUAUCAUUCUUUCUCAUUCUUAGAAUGGUGAUUACCCUCUAUAUAUACUCUGUACAUGAACGAAUGAAAGUAUGAAUGAAAAAAACUACCAUUUAUCAA